AUUUUUCGAGGAAAACUCGUUGGUGAGCUUGGAAUCUGAUUUGGGGUCCCCGUUCGAGGUAAAUUUCACAAAAUACCUGCUGUCACAACCUCCUUUUUGUGAGCUUGAUGUUGGGAUUUUUGAGACUUGUUUUCUCAUCCAUUUUAGGUCCGAUUUCAGCGAUUCUUGAGUCCAUUUUGAGUGGUUUUUCGAGGAGAACAUUGUGGUGUUGUCAGAAUCUACUGUAGACCACCUGUUUCUGGUAAAUAUGCUGAAUUAGCUGCUGUCCCAUUUCUUUACUUUUUGAGGAAAAUUUGGGUUUUGGUUGUAUGUUGGUACUGUGUUGUUUCUGAACCCCGAAUUGUGUCCCAUCAUGGCACACAAAUUUGGGGAGCUGUUAAGAACUUAUUUUUGGGGUUAAUUCCAGAAUUUUCAGCGCGGGUCCAACUUUCCCCGUUUUGACCCCAAAAUUGGUCCGUUCCUAUUUCUUGCGAUUUUAGUGUUUGAAUGACCGUGAUAACGUUGUGACUCUAUUUUUGAUAGCAUGGCAUCGUUUCGAGACCGUUUCGAAAGGGAAAGAUCCAGAGGAGUGAUUUUGGAGCUCGCGUGAUCGACCUACAGGUAGGCGACGGUUUCCUUCUCUUAGAUUGAGCUCGAGAAUGGGAAUGCAUGUUGAUUAGUUGGGAUUUGGGUUGGUAGUUAUUGAAUCACGUUUAGGUGUUUAAAAAUCAUGUUUUCGGCCUAUUUCGAGAAUUAUCGGGUAACUGUGAGCAUGCUUUGUGUUAUUAAUUGACCCUCCUCGCUAUGUGGAGUGCUUGCAUGCUUAAUUACUGUUUAUUUGAAGCAUGUUGGGCCUUAGUUUAGGUUUGACUAGGGCUUGCCUUAUAAAUACAUGAUUCGAAUCCAAUAGGCCUUAGUUUUGCCCCGACGCCGCUCGGCCAGCUUAGAUCCCUGUAGACUAAUGUAGCUGACUUGAGCCUGAUAGUUUGGGCCUUAACUAGGCAAUACAUUUGCUCCGAUGAUAGUUAUCCUUAUUUCCCCGAUGUUACAGCUUCAAGAGUUAUGUUGGCGACACUAGUUCUGCUUCGCGAUUUGAAUUUGAUUUUCGAUUCGAUUCCAAGGACUUACAUUGAUUGGCUAGGUGUGGAUGGCGAUCCAUGGACAUUUAUGAGAAUAGAUCGAUUGGGACUCUUUCAGCAGCUACAUUGGCAUCUUUAUAGAGCAUCCGAUUAGAGUUUCGGCCUCUAUUGCCCAGAUACUUAUAUAGAGCAUCAGGUUAGAGUUCUGGCCUCUAUCACCCAGAUACUUAUAUAGAGCAUCCGGUUUAAGGUCCGGGCUCUAGUGCUCAUCAUGGAACACAAGUUCGGGGAGCUGUUAAGAACUUAUUUUUGGGGUUAAUUCUGGAAUUUUCAGCGCGGGUCCGACUUUCCCCGUUUUGACCCCGAAAUUGGUCCAUUCCCAUUUCCUGCGAUUUUAGUGUCUGAACGACUGUGAUAACAUUGUGACUCUAUUUUUGAUAGCGUGGUAGCGUUUCGAGACCGUUCGAAAAGGGAAAGAUCCAGAGAAGUGAUUUUGGAGCUCGCGUGAUCGGCCUACAGGUAGGCUAUGGUUUCCCUCUCUUAGAUUGAACUCGAGUAUGUGAAUGCAUGUUGAUUAGUUGGGAUUUGGGUUGGGUAGUUAUUGAAUCACGUUUAGGUGUUUAAAAAUCAUGUUUUCGGCCUAUUUCGAGAAUUAUUGGGUAACUGUGAGCAUGCUUUGUGUUAUUAAUUGACCCUAUUCGCUAUGUGGAUUGCUUGCAUCCUUAAUUACUGUUUAUUUGAAGCAUGUUGGGCCUUUGUUUAGGUUUGACUAGGGCUUGCCUUAGAAAUACAUGAUUCAGAUCCAAUAGGCCUUAG
rnacentral:lncRNA from 1 species